GCUCUGUAGACCAGGUUGGCCUCAAAUUCAGAGAUCCACCUGCCUCUGCCUCCUCCCGAGUAUUGGGAUUAAAGUCAUGCACCACUACUACCCAGCUUUGUAUAUUUAUAUUUUCAUAAUGAUUCAUGCAGUUUCACAUAGUUGCAUAUGUAAUUCUAUUUAAAUGUUUUGGAUUUUUUUUUCUGUUCUUUUUCCAUCAAGGCUUUGACGUCAAUACAAUCUUUUAUUUUCAUUUUAUAUACUUAAUUCACAGUUUUUUUGUACUAAACUCAUCAGCUCAUUCUUUGAGUAAACCACUUCUUUUCAACACUGGUGAAUGCUUGCAGGCCCAGGGCAAUAGGCAGUAGGAAGGGAACAGAGUCUCAAGGCAGUGAAAGCGUCUAAGCUCUUGCAGAGAGGCUAGAGGAGCACUGACCAGGAGAUUGUAGCUCUGCUAGGAUACCCAGUGGCUCAGAGGAUGGACAUGUGAACCUGGGAAGGAUGGGACAGAAGAUUGAGGCGUUGCCAUAAAGCUAGGUGGGUCCUGGUGUAACUCUGGUAUAUGUUCAUAUGCUUGGUGUGCUGGCGCACAGUCUACACAAUAAGUGAAAUCACAGUUUUGGAGUUUUUGUUUUGAAGGUCUUCCUCUGUAGUCCAGGCUAGUCCAUCUUCCUGGCUUAAUCCCUGCACCCACUCAGUACUAUGAUCACAGGUGUAUACCACUAUACCUGCCUAAUUUGCAUAAAUUGUGAAUUCUGUCCCUUAAGCUGUUUUUGAGGUUUUUGAGGGUUUUUUUUUUUUUUUUUGCAAAUUCAUUUGUAGAAAUAAGUCAUCUGUGGGUUGAUAGUGAAGUUCAUAAGUUAAUAAGAUAGCUUAGCUAGUAAGGGUGCUGACUGCCAAGCCAGGUGAUCUAACUUGAUAGCCAGGAUUCAUUCACAUAGUAGGAGGACAGAGCCAGGUCCUGCAGUCUGCCCUGAUCUGCAAACAUGCUGUGGCAUGUGCAUCUCUCCUCAUAAACACACAUCUCUAGGUAAAUAACAUUUUACGACUUUACACGAGCCUUCGAGACUCUCCAUUUUGAGCACCACUGUUCUCCUGUAGUACUGGAACCAGUUCUUUAGCUUUGCCGGAAAUAAAGUUUCCUUGCUUCUUUGAAAAACAUCUUGGUUUGGUUGUGUAUCCAAGUAAUUAUAGUAACCUGGAGGCAGAGGCAGGAGCAUCACUGUAAACUCAAGGCCAGUUUGGUCUACAUAGUGAAUUCCGGGCCAGCCUAGGCUACAGAUUGAGACUCUCAUCUAUAGAACCUUC
rnacentral:lncRNA from 1 species